rnacentral:tRNA from 1 species
GGCGGUGUAGCCAAGCAGUAAGGCAAAGGACUGCAAAUCCUUGAACCUCGGUUAGAUUCCGGGCUCCGCCU